rnacentral:rRNA from 1 species
UUGAUCCUGGCUCAGGACGAACGCUGGCGGCGUGCCUAAUACAUGCAAGUCGAGCGGGUCUCCCCGGGGCUUGCCCCGGGGAGAUCAGCGGCGGACGGGUGGUAACGCGUGGGCAACCUGUCCGACAGACCGGGACACGCCUGGAAACGGGCGCUAAUUCCGGAUCUGCGCCAGGGGCGCAUGCUCUUGGCGGGAAAGGGGAAACCCGCUGUUAGGUGGGCCCGCGUCGCAUUAGCUGGUUGGUGGGGUAACGGCUCACCAAGGCGACGAUGCGUAGCCGCCUGAGAGGGUGGACGGCCACACUGGGACUGAGACACGGCCCAGAUCCUACGGGAGGCGCAGUAGGGAAUCUUCCGCAAUGGGCGAAAGCCUGACGGAGCGACGCCGCGUGAGGGACGAAGGCCUUCGGGUUGUAAACCUCUGGCUUUGGGGACGAGGGCACCGGGGGGACCCGGU